UUUGAGUAGAAAUUUCAUCUCCCAUGUGGUGUGGCUGGCCUUGUGUCUGUUAAACUCUUUUUCUACUACAGUGUCGUGGUCUUUCUUUAUGCAGUGGGCAGGAAGAACCCCUCAGGCAAUUAUGCUGUGAUUAAGCCGUGCUUUCUUAAAGCUUUGUGAACAACUUAAACUUUAGAAGAAAAUAAUGGCAGCCUAUUUACGUACCUAAACCACUUUCAUACCUGCCUACUGAUGUAUGGACUUCAGAGUAACAUGACCUGUAUGAAUUUUCCAGGAUUGUUCUUCAUUGUUUGUUUGUUUGUUGUUGUUUUUCUUCUUCCCUCCCCCUAUUUUCUCUUUGUAGAAUGUGUGACUUUACAAUCUGCUAAAAAUGAGCUUUCCUAAUAAUGUGGGACCUACCCGUCUAGGAAUAAACCAUCCUAGCCAUGAGAGAUCAGACAAAACCUCAGCCCAAAGACUCAUUUUCCUCUAAAAUGCUUUCUUUGAAAGCUUUUUAAAAAGAAAAGUGGGGAAAUGCAAAAGGAAAAUAAACCUCAGUUCCCCCAAAUCACUAAGCCAAAGGGAAAAGUCAGACUGGGUACUGUGGGCAUACUUGCCUCCCACUCUAUUCCUAAAUAAGAUAGCUACAAAGAUUAAAAAAAAAAAAAAAAAAGCUACAUACCUCCGUCACAAUUUGCCCACGGGAAAAUUCCUUGUGGAUAAAAAGCAGAACUCAAAGUCAUCCCUCUGUUAACAUGAUACAAAUGCAUAUCUGAUUGCUUCCUUGCUCCAUUAUUUCACUAAGCUAGACUAAGGCAUAAGUGACUGUUCCUGUAAAUUGUGUAUUCAGUGAAAGGCUGAUCAGAAACUAAAAAUAAUGCAACUGUUUAUGUCUUAUCUACCUAUGACCUGGAAGCCCUCUCCCUGCUUUGACUUGUCCCACUUUUCUGGACUGAACCAAUGUACGUCUUACAUAUAUUGAUUGAUGUCUCAUGUCUCCCUAAAAUGUAUAAAACCAAGCUGUGUCCCGACCACCUUAGGCACAUUACUUCAGGACCUCCUGAGGCUGUGUCAUAGGCACAUCUUAACCUUGG
rnacentral:lncRNA from 1 species